AUCACUUUAUGAAGGUUCAGGACAGAGCAGUAGCAGUGACUCACUGCUCACUCCCUGCAGCCUGGGCAUACCAUGUUCAUUAAUUACACUAAUUGCUUAUUAAAACCUGCUACAUGUGAAACUGAUUACCACAUUAGAUGAGAGUGAAUCAUAAAACGAUGAUAUAAAUGUGUUAUAUCAUAUUGACAAGCGUGCAGCAGCUGUUAAAGUUAAUUAAAACUGCCGUCGAUACAAACGUUAAAAAUUUAACAUGUAAUAAAUCUGGUUAUUGCAUGACCAUCUGAUGUCCUAUUUUGUUAUUACUCCUCACCAGGCCUACCAAUGAAAACUCAGAGACUGCAACGAAAAACUGUCAUAUGUCUACAAUACAGGAAUGUAACUAAAAACUAAGAAACAGCAUCACAGAAUCUGAUAGCACACUGCUGAAAAUAUGGCAACGGCAGCUCUCAAACACUCAAACGGCAGCUCUCAAACACUCAAACGGCAACCUUCCACACUAUGCAUGGGCAGAACAAGAGGGAAGUUGACUGUCAUGUUAGGAGGAUCAACAAACAAGACUAGACGUUAGUCUAGUUAUUUGUCUGUGACCAGUGGACUGGAGUUCAUCUUCCACCAACACAGCAGACUGCAGGGCCUAGAGACUGGUACCUCCAGCACCAGGUCCCCGCCACCCCCUGGUCUGGUCUACUAGCUGGUCCCCUGGGAAACACAAACCCUGGCUCACCACAGACAUGCUAUGGAAGAGAAGCAGUUGAGAUCCUUACAAGUUGUUUGGAGAACACAAAAGUAGAGCCAAAGAGAACAGUGGAAGAGACUGUUCCUCCAUUAAACUGAAGUCCAAGUCAGGUACAGCGUAAUCCCAUCUAGGGGGAACACGGGCUCUUCAACCUAUACAUAAUUCAUAUUUUGUAAACAGAAGGAGAUAAAAAGCAAGGCAUCUUCAAGCAUAAAUAGAGCGGCUGUGUGAACUAAUCUGGCCAACAGAGUUCUUGUGUUCCCAGUCUAAAUUAAGGUGCACAAAAAUACCUUCUCUGGAAAAGUCUUAAACUAGCUUGUGAGCUGAAAACAGACACCUUUCUCUCCUCCCCUGGUAAAAACAUUGGUGUUGCCAGGUUAAGGGAAGAGUGGAUGUAGGUUAGUACAGGGAAUACAGGAGUGGGUUAGAAGGAGUUGGAGCAGUAACAUCAGGGGGGUACAGCCUCACUCAUGUGUUACAUGGCCACUUCGGACAACUCAACAACACACUUUUGUAGUAUCUUGCUCAUGGGUAAAUAAAUAAAUUGCAAGAGAUUUCAUGGCAUUUGAUUGGUUCACCAACAAUUCUUUUUUGUGUUUAUGUCUCCAUAAACUGACCAAAAAAUUAGGCCAUGCCCACUCACAGACUACUGUUUCCUGAUUGGAUGAUAAUAGAAUGGGAGGGGCUUGUGUUGUCACUGAUUUCGUAUUGUUGUCUACCGUUUGUUUGUUUUUAAUUAUUAUCAACAAAUUUGUUGAUUAGAAUUGACUUCAAUAUCAUUUUGCAUUUAUGAAAAUACUAUGCGGAUUUACACAGUCUGCACACCUGUUUUUCAUGUUUAACCUCUGCAAACAAACAAAAUAUUGAAGACAAUUCUAAAUUGUUGUUUGUAAUAUUGAAACAUUCUGAAUAACGAUUUGCAAACUAUUUCAAAUAUGCAAAGCUGUCUGUGAUGCAAACAGAAUUCUAAGUUUCAGAUUUCCAAAACUUCUCACAACAAAUACACCUCAACAUAUGU